rnacentral:lncRNA from 10 species
GUGAAUAAAAACACCAUGGAAAAAUUAAUUUGGUAAUACGAAGCAUGGGCUACAUUUCCUGAUUUCAUUUUGUGAUUUGAUGUUAGUCAGUAAACCUGUGAUUAUAUGCUACCCACAGUGAAGGUGAAUUCCAUAUAUCCAAUGAAGUUUUUCAGGAAACAUCUUAGCUUCUUACAGAAGAAGAAGCAUGAAAUGGCUUUUCACCUCCACCUGUAUGCUGUUUCUAAGCUCAUGAAGCUAGGAUUUGCCAUGGGGAACCUAGAGAGCAAGAGGGUUGCUCACUUAAGGGGAAACUAACUACCACGUUAUGCAGCUCUACUGUAAAAAUGCACAGGGUGAGAAACCAAGGCCUCCUUCUGACAGGAGCCACUUGCCGGUCAUGCUCUUCGAAAGACUGAAAAAAUUGACAGGACCAGAGAGAGUCCAUCUAGAAGAAUGUCAAACAAACCACUGAAGUAACGUGUUGACAAAAUAACAGCUCUAAUAAAUUGCAAUUUGACUAUAAAU